AUGGCGGAUUCUGAGCGUCUCUCGGCCCCCGGCUGCUGGUUAGCCUGUACCAGCUUCUCGAGCACCAAAAAGGGAAUUCUCCUGUUUGCUGAGAUUAUACUGUGCCUGGUGAUUUUGAUUUGCUUCAGUGCAUCUACAACAUCGGCCUACUCCUCCCUGUCGGUGAUUGAGAUGAUCUGCUGCUGUCUUACUUGUCUUCUACACGUGUGACCUGCACUCCAAGAUAUCAUUCAUCAACUGGCCUUGGACUGACUUCUUCAGAUCCCUCAUAGCAACCAUCCUGUACCUGAUCACCUCCAUUGUUGUCCUUGUAGAAGGAAGAGGCAGCUCCAGAGUUGUUGCUGGGAUACUGGGCUUACUUGCUACGUUGCUCUUUGGCUACGAUGCAUACAUCACCUUCCCUCUAAAGCAGCAAAGACAUACAGCAGCCCCCACUGACCCCACUGAUGGCCCAUGA
rnacentral:lncRNA from 1 species